rnacentral:rRNA from 1 species
UACGUAGGGGGCAAGCGUUGUCCGGAUUUAUUGGGCGUAAAGAGCUCGUAGGCGGUUUGGUAAGUCUGGUGUGAAAUCUCCACGCUCAACGUGGAGGGGCCACCCGAUACUGCCAUGACUGGAGUCCGGUAGAGGAGAAUGGAAUUCCCGGUGUAGCGGUGAAAUGCGCAGAUAUCGGGAGGAACACCGGUGGCGAAGGCGGUUCUCUGGGCCUUACCUGACGCUGAGGAGCGAAAGCGUGGGGAGCGAACAGG